CCUACGGGAGGCAGCAGUGAGGAAUAUUGGUCAAUGGACGAGAGUCUGAACCAGCCAAGUAGCGUGAAGGAUGAAUGCCCUAUGGGUUGUAAACUUCUUUUAUAUGGGAAUAAAAUGUUCCACGUGUGGGAUUUUGUAUGUACCAUAUGAAUAAGGAUCGGCUAACUCCGUGCCAGCAGCCGCGGUAAUACGGAGGAUCCGAGCGUUAUCCGGAUUUAUUGGGUUUAAAGGGAGCGUAGGUGGUUUGUUAAGUCAGUUGUGAAAGUUUGCGGCUCAACCGUAAAAUUGCAGUUGAAACUGGCAGUCUUGAGUACAGUAGAGGUGGGCGGAAUUCGUGGUGUAGCGGUGAAAUGCUUAGAUAUCACGAAGAACUCCGAUUGCGAAGGCAGUUCACUGGACUGCAACUGACACUGAGGCUCGAAAGUGUGGGUAUCAAACAGGAUUAGAUACCCUAGUAGUC
rnacentral:rRNA from 1 species